UCACCAAGGUAUGUUGAAGUUGAUUCAUACGUUUAAGCAUGUCUCCACGUACAGUGCAAUCAAACCCAAUUUUAGCACAAUCGACUGCAACUGAUAAUGCAAAUCUUCGAAGAUUUAGCAACAGAAUUAGGUUGGAUCAGCUUAUGAUUUUGAUGACCUUUGUCUGUGAAAUUUCGGCAUCACAGAGAGUUGCAUAUAUGGAAAGUACAGGUUUUGGGGAAUUAUGAGUAAUUAAAUAUGGUCAGUAUGGAAAAUUUGGUAAUAAAUAUAUCUCAAGUGAAAAAUGCGUUGACUCUUCAUUUCUUGCCAUUCUGGAUGAUCACUGACGACUGAAGUGAAGAUAUUGAUUUUUUUUUUUUUGGGUUUUGAUAGUUUCUUGAAGUAAUCAUGCAUCCACAAAGUCAUUCAUUUGUUUAGAUGAAGUGUUCCUCACUCUGCGUCUGUAAUGAGAUCAUGAAAGUUCAAAAUAUUGAAGUUUUAUGUAUGUUAUUU